rnacentral:rRNA from 1 species
CGAACGCUGGCGGCGUGCUUAACACAUGCAAGUCGAACGCGAAAGGGACUUCGGUCCUGAGUAAAGCGGCGCACGGGUGAGUAACGCGUAGAUAACCUGUCUUCAUGUCUGGAAUAAUACGCCGAAAGGGGUACUAAUACCGGAUAUUCUUGCUUUUCAUAAGUUAUGCAAGCAAAGGUGGCCUCUGCAUAUGCUACUGCAUGAAGAGGGGUCUGCGUACCAUUAGCUAGUAGGUGGGGUAAUGGCCUACCUAGGCGACGAUGGUUAGCGGGUCUGAGAGGAUGAUCCGCCACACUGGCACUGGAACACGGGCCAGACUCCUACGGGAGGCAGCAGUGAGGAAUAUUGCGCAAUGGGGGAAACCCUGACGCAGCGACGCCGCGUGAGUGAGGAAGGCCUUCGGGUCGUAAAGCUCUGUCAAGAGGAAAGAAGUGUACAAUGGCUAAUACCUGUUGUAUUUGACGGUACCUCUAAAGGAAGCACCGGCUAACUCCGUGCCAGCCGCCGC